rnacentral:lncRNA from 1 species
UUGGAUCUAGGUUUCUCUAUUGUACAUGCUUUGAAUCCAAGACUAUAAACCCUAAUUCUAGCAUAUGGAAAUCGAUAUUAACAUAUAAUUAGGUUUAAGAUAUUACCUUGAUUGUUAUGUAGCAAUAACAAACCUAAUUCCUCCUUGAAUUGACUUUGGAAGGCUUAGAGUCACAAGUGUCACUCCUCUAAUGGCUUACAAACACCAAGAGCAAAUGGAGAAGGUAUAAAGAGAGAGGAGAGAAGUAGGAAUUCGUCCUUAGGACUUCUUGGGAAGGCUUGGACGAAUUCAUGAGCCUUAGGGGGUUUAUAUAGGUGUAAAGAUUAGGGUUUUAGUCCUUAUCCUUAUCUAGUUGCUUGCCCACCAAGCAACCAUAAGAUAAGUCUUAGAAACCCUUAUCCUAGUCGAAUUCUAAGGCAUUAUCUCCUUAGAUCCGUUCACCCUAUAUUUAAGAUAAUCCUUACCUUAUUUUGUAACUAUCACAUAAUUACAAUUCAGCCCCUCUAGUUUAAUUAAUUACACUUGAUCACAAAAUUAAUUCUUAAUUAAUUAUUGACCAAUAUUAAUUAAACAUAUAUGAUUUCUCCUUUAAUAUAUUAUUCUUAUAACAUAUUAAUAAAUCAUAAUAACCUCUCUCUCUAUUUAUUUCUCCAAUCAAGUUGCUUUGGUGAAGGCAACCCAAAAGGACCAUGCACCAUCGGGUCAAGUACAUACCAAAAUAGUUAUGGACUUAGACACUAAUCCAACAGUCUCCCACUUGGAUAAGUCUAAUAACUAUUCUGCGUAUGACUUCAGAUCCUGAUCUGCAAUCGUAGCUUUCCAAAGCCGCUGUCAACUCUGAUCCUAUCAGAUACGCGUGUCCUUAGAUAAGGGAUCAUAUAUUCCUCCAUUCUAGAUAUCAUAUGAGAUAUGAUUUCAAAUCAUUCUCUUUGUACUAUAUCUCGAUUUCUGAUUUAUGACGACUGACUAAUUGAACAAAUCAAAUUAGCCCUAGCCCGGCCGAGCAUUUACGUUUGUCAUCACUAAAUCAUCGAGGGGCCCAAAGAUAUCGCUUUUAUCCUACUUUGGAUAAAAGGAACGGAUAAACUUUGAUACAAUGCUUGCUUGCACUCACGCACCGAAUCACACACAACAAUAUGUUUUAUAACACCAAGUUACUAGUGCGUUUACAUAUUAUCAAUGUGCAACCGAUUUGCAAGAUACAACUCACACAUCUCGGUUUCAAGAAUAUAAGAUGUUAUCGUCUCACCAAUCACUCGUGAUACAAUUCAUGGAGUGAUCCAAGUGAGCGUGGGUUUAAUCCAAUGCUCAAAUCAUAUUCAUAAGCACUCAUGAACGUUGCAGCAAACAUUUGCUUAUGUCUAAUACUCUUUUAGACAAUCCACACACCAAUUCACGACAGUCUUCAUUCAUAUCUACUUCCAACAUAUGAACGACUGUGGCCCGUUCGAAUAAUUCGAUUAUUCUUAAUAAACUCAAUUAUUCUGGAAGUCAAAACAUGCAAAUGUGAAACACAAGAAUAAUACUAAUCCCAUAUGGCCUCAAACCUUUGAGUAUAAAUAAAACACCUUUUAUUUAUCACCAUAUUGAUUACUCAUUAUUUGUCGUUUCGGGUAAUCAACUUCUUACUUGAAUUACAACACUUGUCCCAUGCUCCUAGCAUGCACACAAUGUUUACCUAUGGUUCUUACUUUGUGAAAUAGAUCACAUUGAACACAUUUCCAAUCAUUCUCAUUUCACAACUCCAAAUCCUUUUUUCAUAAGUUAAAGAAUAUCAAAUUCUUGCUACUUAUAGAAUAUGCUAGAUUCUAACAUUCUAUGCAACUAUCCUUUCGUAAUGUCACUGCACCAAAGUCACAAAGACUAUUGCCAAUGAUAUUACAAAGUCCUCUAUCGGAGAUUGUUACAAGACAAUUCCAUAGAUGUGAUGUCUCUCACUCAAAGUACAUUCUUUGAACAUCCUUUUGCAUAGAAGUUUCUAAUCUAGUCAUAGAUUUCUCAAUAUUCAAUUCCCAAUAUGGACACACUUCCAUAUGUUCCAUAUGACAACUCAUUCUUAAUAGAAUCUUAUCUAUUCGUAAUGAUGUCGAUAUGGUCCAUCCAAUAUGGAAACAUUUCCAUAUUUUCCAAUACUAUACUUCCAACUACUCACAAGCGACCAAUCCUCGUCGAACUUUGGAUUGUCCUUUGAUAGUUGUUUAAUUAUUUUAGUCAAAACCAAUUCUAGUCCCUUUUCCCUCUAAAUGCGCUCGACAUUUGGAAAAUUUUAGAAUGGUCAAACAUUAAAGCAUUUGCAAUCGAUCCUAUACCCGAAGCGUAUGGGACACGACGCAUAAUGUUUUAUUUGCUAUGUUCUCAAAAUUCGAAUUGUGAAGAGGGAUGCCGUAAUCAUAAUCGAAAUUUUAAGAACACACUUUGUACCUUUGACUAAAUUUUAUUAACAUUUCUCAACCUAAACCUUUAGAUUUGAAAUGAAGCAUAAUAUUCUCUCCCUUAAUUAUAGCAAAACAACUCUUCAACUAUUGCGACUUUGCAAAGUAUGACUCUUGUUUUCUAUAAUUAAUAUUGCUAACCUUGCAAUACUUUCCUUAAUAAUCAUACAAUCAUAACUUUUAUGCUCCCACUAUCUUGAUGAUUAUUAUAAAACAUAACACUUAUGCUCCCACUAGCUUCGACAUGUAUUCAUAAACAUCUUAACUUUCAGAAAAAAAAUGCUUAUUGAAUUUCUUAAGUUCAUGUUUCUAAUACUUAGUGCUUUGAUAAUCUUUUAUCAAGGUUUCUUGAACUUAUACACAUUUGCCUUCGAUAGUUCAUAUGUGUGUCUAAACAAUUAAGACUAAUUGCCAAACCUCACAAUUCAAAUUAUGGAAAGGGAUGCCGUAACCAUAAUUGAAUUCGAGAAUGCAAUUUUACAAUCACUAUCUUCUUAAAAUCUGUCUUAGUGAAAGCAUUUCCUCACAAUCAUUUUCAUGAAGGAGGAAAUCUUAUGACACUUAGAUUUAAACGGUGUAUUUGUUCCUAUCCAUGUGAAUUUGUCAAAACCAAAGUUUACGACAAAUUCAAACUCUUAUGGAUCGAACUUUCUUGAUCUCGAUUUCUUGCCUUUAUGGUAGCACAGCUGCCCACCAUGUCUUCCAAGUAGUUAAGCAGCUCACCCUUUCCUAUCAAUGUACCUUUCAUUGAUUAAGGUGCUUUGCCUUUUAUGCGUUCAAAAUGAGAACUCAUAGAACUCACAUGCAUAAUUAACUCGAUUGGAUUGGCACAGAAUCAAAAUAAUGUCAACACGAUAGGUUGUAAACCUCAACUCGUGUGCUAGUGAUGAUCGAUAAGGUUUAUUUGAUUUGUUCUUGAAACCUUUCAAGACCAUUAAGACUCCCACUGACUCCUUGACAUAUAAGAUUCUCUUGUCAAAAAACAUUUCUUGACAAACAAAUAUUCAAGAGUUAGUGUAGCUUUUAUCAAAACACUUCAUAAAUUGGUCCUAGUUGGUCUUUGUCUUAUCCAAGACAUCACAACUUUCCACAUUUAAUGAAAGUUACAAACCUUCUUAAUACCUUUCACUCAAUGUCACAAUCUUAACUUUAAGACUUGUUAUUGGAACGAAGUAUGAUUGACUUAUUGAUUUAACCAUUUCUUCAAUUCUUGAUUCCUCUUCUUAGACAUACAAUUGUACUAAGACUCACUUAGAGGAUCAAUUGAGAUAUGGUUCUUAAUCAUUAAGACCUAUCAUAAAGCAUAAAAGGUACUCUCCCUUCUUCUUAGAAUGGAGAAACUUUUAUCUUUCUGCCUACUUGAUUCUUCUUAUUCGUUCUGCUAUUGAUUUAAACCUUUUCAAUCAAUUCAGAAUUACACUUAAUCUUAUAAGUAUAAUCAUAUUUACUAAACCUUUAGUAAAUCAUGACGAAUAUCUUUGUUACUCUUAUGGUGGACUUGAUCAACACGCAACUUUGUGUACUCGAUCUCCUAGUCCUUCACUUGACACUUUGUCAAUGAAUUAGUCUAAUUUCCAAAUAUGAAAUUUCUCAUUCAUCGUGCAACCAAGUUGCAUGAUUCCAAGUUUCUGUCCAAUUGAAACUUGGGCGAUGAGAAACUCUCCCUAUUUGGUAAAUUCUCGACUUUCCAUAAAUAACAUAAUAAGAACCAAAUCCAUUAUUGCUAAUAAUAGAAACAUUUUAACAUCAAUUUUUCAUACACGCCAUUGUAAGGAUAAAUAAAUAAAAUUUAAAAUCAAAAUUUAUUUUAUUGCGGAAAAAUUUGUCCUUACAAUGCAACUCAUUGAAAAACUUAUGCUAAUACAUCUUUCUUAGCAAUCUAAUUCUAACUCUAAGUAGUAGCUCAAGAAUCUAAUCUUUGAGAAAUGCGAUCGAAAUCCAUUCCUUCACGGUUAGAUUCUGCUCACUUCUUCCCUUAAGCUUCCUUUCUUUUCUUCGAUCCUACAAAACAUCAAUUGUAAUCUUAUCACAUUAUGUAUUAAGAAUCUAGAAUAGAAGCUUAAAAGAGUUAGUUAAUGGAUUUUACCUAUAUUAGAGCCAUACGUUUCGACUCUCCCAUCUCUUAGAUCUCUUAGGUAAAUGGGGCAGCUUCGUCUCCAAUGCCCUUUCUCUUGGCAAUAAAAGCAAAUUGACUCUUUUGGAACAUGACAUGGAACUACUUCAGACAUUGUCUUUCUCUUAUGAUCAAACUUUUCGAUCAUAGCAUGUCUUUCGUUGCCAUUGUCUAUAUCCAUAGAGGUCUUGAAGGCAGAUUCACCAAUCAACUUUGCUUUUCUAUUGCGCCAAACCAUUGCUGAUUCAGCAGCAAUAAGCAUAUAGGUGAGAUCUAUAAGGGUCACGUCGCAGUUCAUCAUAUAGUACUCUCUUACGAACUCACUAUAUGAGUUAGGAAGUGACUGAAGAACCCAAUCAACAGCCAUUUCCUCACAGACAACGGAUCCCAACAUUCUUAACCUAUCAAUGUGUGACUUCAUCCCUAGGACGUGUGCACACACCGACUUUCCUUCUUUAUGUUUACUUGCCAAAAGGGCUUGAGUGAUCUUGAACUUUUCAAGCCUUUGAACUUGUGGGUUAGGGAGAAUAAUUGGAGGAGGUGGAGGAAGUGAAGCAUGAUUUCUUGUUCCUCGAUCGAAUCGUGGAAUAUCAUCUUCAUGUGGAAUGCUUGUUCCACGGGAUUUGGGAAGACCAUAGUUGUCGAACUUUGACAUCUACAAAACGGGAGAAAACGAAUUCAAGUUAGUUGAUUGAUUGAGUCCUUAGUAAAUCACCCAAAUGAGAUACUAAGGCUAGGACCCAACACAAUAUUCUACAACUCGGGAGAGGGAUGCCGUAACCCAAAUUGCAGAACAUUUGAAGGUAAGUGAAUGACGAUUCACUAAUUUCCACCAUGAAAAACGAAAAAGAAAUUUAAGUUUUAAAUCUAUGAAAACUCCUAGAUCCUUUGAGAUUCAUUGAACAUUUCAAUGGCAUGUUUAAAUCUCGAUAUGCCCCUCUUGUUUGUGACUGGGAUGCCGAGGAUCACAAAGCGGGUGUGAAUAACCAUGCAAACUUACAUGGUGCCCUCACAUGUUACAGUCACCUAUUCGAUGUGCCGGUAAACCACACACGCUCCACCGAACUAUGACAAACAUUGAGUCACCCUUUGCUACCUUUGCUUAGAACCAUUUAGUGUGCCGGUAAACCACACACGCUCCACUAACGUCUUCGCAAGGGCACAAAGUGUAAUUUCAUGGAAUUGCAUCAAUUCACUUUUGCCUAAGUAACUAAGAUUGGGAAUUUUAUGAAAACAUUUAGUUACUUUUAUACUUCAUUAUACUUAUAAUGGAAGGUUUUGUCCUAUCCUACCCGUUCGGCUAACGACCCUCCACUAGUCAAGAGUGCGGUGGGUAAGAGUGGAUACCCAUUCAAUCGCCAUUUUAUAGGCAAUUUCCUUAAACACCCCUUAUAGACCAGCUUCGUGAAUGAGGCCUACUAACGGUAAGACUGACUUUUACUCAUACAUAUAUAUAAUGUUAGACUUUUAAUGUUAUAUAUAGUAUAGGGUGUAUUUUACACUUUUAAAAUACUAGGUGGUCAAAUUUAACAAUUAUACUUUUAAUUCAAUUAAAUUGUAAACCUAAACUUUUAUGGAUUUAUUAAACCUCUUUUAAUUAUACACCUUAAUUAAUUAAUAAAACCAUAAGGGUGUGAUUUGAACUUUUUCAAAACUAUACUAGAGUUUUAGAAUUUAACAUUCCUAAUUAAACUUUUAAUCAACUUUUAAAUUCCAAAACUUGAGGGCAAGUUUUGAAACAUUUCAACACAUUAGGGUUUAGAAUUUAAAUAUACAUCAAAAUUAAACUAUUUAAUCAAAAUUUAAAUUCCAAAACUUGAGGGCAAGUUUUGAAACCUUUUUCAAAACAUUAGGGUUUCAACUAUUUAAAUUUCAAAACAACAAAACUUUUGGGUUCAAAUUUAAACUAUAAAACCUAAAGGGGAAAAUAUGAAACUUUUCAUAACAACAAGGAUCAAAUAACAAAUAAUUCAAAUUAACAUUUAAUCACAUAAUUAUCCAUAUUUGAUUUAUUUAAUGAUUUCUUGCAAAACAAUUUAUCAAUUUACUCAAAAUAAUUAAUCAAUUAUCUUAUAAGGAAACAAUUAUCUUAUUAAUUGAUAAAUAUCUUCAAUUAGAUCAAAAAUAUAGUCAAAUAUAUCAUAUAAUCGGAUUAAUAUUGAUCUAACAUGAUAAGGUAACUAUCCAUAAGCAAAAACAGCAAGAAAUCCCGAAGUACCCUCCAUCUGACGAGUUGACUCGUCGAGUCAGGCUUGGACUCGUCGAGUCACCUUGGACUCGGCGAGUUCAGCCAUGGACUCGGCGAGUCCAGCCUCCAGAAACCCAAAAAACGAAUUUUCCAGUUAUACAAUGCAUCAAUACAAUUGAAACCAAGCUAGGCUCUGAUACCACUGAUGGGUUUUGGUCAUAAGACAUCCUAUGUGCUCAUACAAACCCUAAUGCUUGGAUCUAGGUUUCUCUAUUGUACAUGCUUUGAAUCCAAGACUAUAAACCCUAAUUCUAGCAUAUGGAAAUCAAUAUUAACAUAUAAUUAGGUUUAAGAUAUUACCUUGAUUGUUAUGUAGCAAUAACAAUCCCAAUUCCUCCUUGAAUUGACUUUGGAAGGCUUAGAGUCACAAGUGUCACUCCUCUAAUGGCUUACAAACACCAAGAGCAAAUGGAGAAGGUAUAAAGAGAGAGGAGAGAGGUUGGAAUUCGUCCUUAGGACUUCUUGGGAAGGCUUAGACGAAUUCAUGAGCCUUAGGGGGUUUAUAUAGGUGUAAAGAUUAGGGUUUUAGUCCUUAUCCUUAUCUAGUUGCUUGCCCACCAAGCAACCAUAAGAUAAGUCUUAGAAACCCUUAUCCUAGUCGAAUUCUAAGGCAUUAUCUCCUUAGAUUCGUUCACCCUAUAUUUAAGAUAAUCCUUACCUUAUUUUGUAACUAUCACAUAAUUACA